rnacentral:lncRNA from 1 species
CUGGAUUUCCUUAAUAAAGAGUUCGUUGGUAGCCCAAUGUAGAUGGUGUUCUAGCUUAAGUGGACUCGGUUGGCUCCGAAUUGCAUUAUUGAGAGAUGUGUUGAUUCGAUUGUUAUUGAGAUUAUUAGUGAUCUAGAGAGGUUUAUGAGUUUCCUUUCUGUGUUGCAAGACGUUAUGAUUUGUUGGUUAUGGGCACAUAUGGUGUGGGUUCUAUUGGGGUUCAUAGCGGAAGUUGAGCGGGAAGAGUAAUAGGG